rnacentral:rRNA from 1 species
GAUGAACGCUGGCGGCGUGCCUAAUACAUGCAAGUCGAGCGAACGGACGAGAAGCUUGCUUCUCUGAUGUUAGCGGCGGACGGGUGAGUAACACGUGGAUAACCUACCUAUAAGACUGGGAUAACUUCGGGAAACCGGAGCUAAAACCGGAUAAUAUUUUGAACCGCAUGGUUCAAAAGUGAAAGACGGUCUUGCUGUCACUUAUAGAUGGAUCCGCGCUGCAUUAGCUAGUUGGUAAGGUAACGGCUUACCAAGGCAACGAUGCAUAGCCGACCUGAGAGGAUGAUCGGCCACACUGGAACUGAGACACGGUCCAGACUCCUACGGGAGGCAGCAGUAGGGAAUCUUCCGCAAUGGGCGAAAGCCUGACGGAGCAACACCGCGUGAGUGAUGAAGGUCUUCGGAUCGUAAAACUCUGUUAUUAGGGAAGAACAUAUGUGUAAGUAACUGUGCACAUCUUGACGGUACCUAAUCAGAAAGCCACGGCUAACUACGUG